AGUCCCACACAAUAACACUGUUUUCAAAAUUUCCCAAAACUGGUUAAAAAUCCAUGGUUAUAGGAACUCUCCCUGAAUUGACAUCUCUCUAGUCUCAGUCAUACACAAAUGACAAGAGGCAUGCAGUGAACUGGACCAAGGUACAGCUAAUGUCCAGCUGUUUGCAAGUGUACCUUGUGAUGGUACAGCAGCUUGACAAUACUUUAUCAUGGUCAGACUCUCUCAUCCCAUUUAACUACACAACAUGCACAAUCAGGGUGACCAACAGUAUUAUUAACAUGAAAGCUUGUCUCGGGGGGUCAUGCAUCUCACUACAAGCUUUUGAUUAAACGUGAGGACCCUGUUAGCAAGUUAUUUCUAUUCAUGUUUUGUUUGUGAUUGAAUGGUAAUGUCAGCUAGCUAAAAACAAUGUUAGUUAGCUUGGCUAAAAUGGUUUUUAUAGCAACAGAUAGCAACAAAUCAGAUCAAUGGAACUUUAUUCAGAAAGGGGGGGGUGGAUGGAACAUAUACAGUAAAGGUGAAAUGGUAGGCAUUGUUCUGCCUUGAAGCUGCAUGCGCAUCCUCAUUGUUUGUAACCACCAACCCAUCUAAAUGUAAAGAUAAUAUCCAAGCUAGCAAUUUUGCCAAAUUUGACUGCAACUUUUUAGCAUUGUAGGGCAAACACACUCACUGCAAAGUGUACUAAAACGUGUCACCACAGAGCUGGCAACUUUUCAAAAAACCUUGGAGUGAGAAAAUGUUGCCGCGCACGCAGCUACACUUGUUGGGUGGCUCGGAUAUCAGGGAAUUGGAAUUAAUUUGGCGUUGUACCCAUGUUGUGCUCUGCAUUCUGUUGGUUUUUGGGGCCCAAAGUCUGCCUACUGUGGGCCUACUGGAAAUGGACAACAUUGGUUACAUUCUGUGAAGCAAAGAGCAUAGCUGAAGGUCCACCCCCAGGACAUUUUGGUUUAAGUAGAUGUUAUUUCCUGCAUUCUAGUGGAUUUUUGGGUGGUAUGCUAAAGAUGUGCAAUACCUGAACUUAUUCUGAUUCAUGUUCAUCUGAUCAUGACUUGUAGGGCCUUUAGACUUGAGCUGAACAAUUCAACCAGAAAACUAUUCUUGUCCUCAAUGACCUGUCUAUGUACCACAAUAUAGCCUAAUUAAUAGACUGUGUUUAAGAUUUUACCAAGGUAGGUUGAUUGACAUUUUGAUUACAAUGGUAUUCAACUAAUUCUAACUGGAACCUAACCUAUAUUGUUAAUAAUUGUAU
rnacentral:lncRNA from 1 species